rnacentral:tRNA from 1 species
ACAUUGGUGGUUCAGUGGUAGAGUUCCCCCCUUCCAUCAGGAAGACCCAGGUUCAAUUCCUGGCCAAUGUA